GACUUUAGGCAAUAUUUUUUAAGAGCUGAAAAUGCCAUUUUAACAAUUACUUUUUUUGUACGACGCUAUGAUCAUGAUGACAUAAGCUAGAUUUAAGGAUAACGAAACGUGAUGCAUUAGUACACAAAACUGAUGAUGUGUUAAUUGAAUAUACUAGACGCAUUUAGAAUACUGCGUGUGCCAUUACUAGCUUUAUAAAGCCACUAACUUGGAUUAUGUUUGCAUUUAUCUAAAUGCGUCGUCUUUAAAUGAUUUACGAAACAAUUUAAAUAAUGUUAAUUAACUAUUGAUACUUACUUGAAAUUUUGCUAUUUUACCGUUUUACGCGUUUUAAAGUACAUCAAAUAUUUUGUAAUAUAUAACCCGUUCGUAAUAUUUAAAUCGCAUGGGUCACACUAUUUUAUGGAUAUGUAUAUUCUGUGGAUGAUUAAAUGAUACAGUACAUAUAAAAUAUACUGAAUUAUUUGCUGCGAGUAAGAUGGAAUAUUAGCUCUUAGAAUAAGUGCAAGACGUUAUAUUAGUGAUUUCUUUUUAAUCUUUUUAGUACGAAUUAAACACUUUAAAGUGGUUACCUACCAUACAUGUAUAUGGUGUUUGAUGUACGAGCCAACACAGAUUAUUUGGUAACACUUUGCCGACAAGAUGUUGUGUUCAAAGAUAAUUGCACAUCUCUAUUUGACACUAAUGGUGAUAUUACUGAUUUUCAUCAUUUAUUCCGAAGCUGCUUCAAGAGGGGUUUGUAAAAGGCCAACGCCCACUACAACAACACCAGCUCCUGAUUUAACAACAGAAGCAACACCUUAGGUAGAGGAUCAGUACCUUAGAGCCCCGAAUAACAAUAAUAUUCUAGUGUACAAAUUUUACAUCGUAGAUGUAUCAAUAUCUUCUGAGAUGUUUUACAUAGAUAUUUUCAUUUACAUGAUAUUGACAAUGAUACGAUGCAACCUUCAUUCAUUAUCUUACUUUGAUGAAGAAAACAUUUUAAGGGCGCUUAUAAAUUAUCUAUCAUAAAAAUGCAUUUUAUCAGAAGACAUACUACAACAAUAAUCCAUCGCUUAUCGAACUCUGUCAUUCUGGUCUUUCUGCCUAUGUUCCUGGACAUUGCGGAGACAUUGCUGAUCCUUAAAUAUGUAUACACCAGGAAAUAAGCUCAGCACACAUGGCUUUUUGCCUCAAUUUUGACAUGACCAUACCUGAAAUUGUAAAUUUUAUUUGGGCAAUGGUACGAACCACCUGUAGUCAACCUGCAACAACUGAAACAAGCUCUGCACAAGAAUGGCAAAAUUUACCUUGAAAUCGCAUAAGACGCCUUGCUGGUAGUAUAAAAAAUGUUGAGGCUAUCAUUCGGGCACUUGGCGGUUACACACGUUAAUAAAAAUUUGGCUACAUAAUGUGAUUUUAGGUGACGUAAUCGUCAACCAAAAAUAUCGACCAGUAAAUGUUUUGUAAAUGCUCCAACACAUACUUAUAAACACUUACAUUUUCUGGUAAAAGAAACAACACAUUUGCUUAUGCUUCAACAAUUUGGUUAAGAAGAAACUAUACUCAUAUAUUUACUGGUUUGUAAUGACUAAAUUGAUAUCGCUGCUCAUCAAAUUAUUAUUUCUUAGGUCAAUGAAGUCUCAUGACAGUGACUUCAAUCACAACAAAUUUUAAAUUAACGGGUGUGCUUUACUUAUUUCCAAGUGUAUAUUUGAAUACUCGUAAAAAUUUCUAAAGACUAAGAUUUUUUAACUUUCAUAAUUUCUAAAUACAUUUCACUGAGAACAUAUUUAACAGUCUCUCACAUAUGUUAUCAUAAUGUUGCUCAGAAUUUAAAAUUAUUUCGGAACAUGCAAAUAUGUUUGAAUGAAUAACAAGAACUCUUAAAACGGAAAACCUCAUAAAAAGUAUAGCGAUAGCAAAUGUCAAUAUCUUUGACGACUCUUUGCAUGGAAUUUGGAUUUUAAACUAUGUAUCAUAAUUUAAUAAAUGUAGAAAUUAUCGGUUGAAAUUUGUGGGGCAUGAUAUAAACAUAGGGAUUAUUUUUCUUUUUUAGCUAUAAACGCCCACAGAUGAAAUAUCUACUCCAAUCAUAUCAUGAUUUAAACCUUAUGUAAAUCAUAUCUCCGAGUCUAUUCAUUCUGUUUAUAAACCGUCUAUGGUUAUUAUGAAAACGUUUUAAGAUUUAAUUGUAGAUAAGUUUGAUAUUUAAUAUUGCAUUAAAUAACUAGCCCGCCUUCUGAUAAUUUUUUAUCCAUGAUUUUAAUAUUUCAAACUAAAUAUUACUUUAUUUGUGAAGUUACACUGCAUUGAACAUCUUUAUCUGAAAAAUAUCAAUACAGAAAUAACGGCCUGUUUUCGGUUUUUCUUUUAAUUGUAUUGCUUUUAUAUUACUAAAGCAAAAUUGAACUGUAAGUGCAAGUAUAUUUCAGAGCUUACACAGAUGUCACUAAAUUAUCGAGAAUUGUUUAUAUAUCAACGAAAAGUCCGUUGGACAUUCACCCAAUUAUAUAUAUACGUACAUGUUUAAAUCAAUUUGAAAACAUAAAAUCUAAUUAACAUAUAAUUUAUUUUGCUUGAUAGUUAUCAACAUUGAUAAAAUAAAAAUCGUUGAACUUGUCAUUUGAGGCAAGAUACGUUGCAUAAGUGUCGGGUUAAAAAUGGCUUUUUAGUAGUUCCUCAAAAUUGUAAUAUUAUAUUUGACAAUUACAUUGUAUAAUACUUGAAACAGUCCGUGUGGUAACAAACAAACAAACAAACAAACAAACAAACAAACAAACAAAACAAUAAACACACAAAUAAUGGAUAAGUCUUUUAAUAUUAGUUAAUAAGUACAGAGGGUUCUCUACCCAGGGCUGCACGUUUGAUUUUUAUAUGUGAAACGUGUUCAGAAACAACUUUCAUUAACGUAAUUGCUACAUGUAUACUUCCCUUUAGAUAACCCUAAACAAGGAUACAACUGCAUUAUUUUACUAACAAUUUGUAACUUUAUUUUCAUUUGGUACGUAACCUCAUAAAUUAAUUGUACAAUAAUUGUACCAUUAUUUGUUAUAAAAUAUAAAAUGGAAAUAGAAAAAAUUGAGAUAUCCCCCUUAUCAUGAACAUCUUUAAUGUCAGGGCUUAUUAUAAGUGACGUAAGCUGCAAAUUAACUUUUCAUGAGACUUACAUUCAAUCAUUCAAUUUUAAACCGACAUGAAAUAACUAUUUAUAUUUAUGCCUUUCUUAGAUUGUAAAAUAAAAUAAAGCAAUAAAAUAAUUCUUUGUGCCGAACUAUCAAAGUAGUCUUAAAACCAAUAUCAGUAACAGUUGUGCAUUGUACAAUGAAACUAAAUUUAAGAUUUUAUUAUUUGCCUACUUUCGGCAACAUCAUUCCUGUUAUAUUCACCAUGAUUAUACAAAAAGAAUAUUGUAAAGUGUUAUUUCAAAAUUUUAUUUCCAUAUGCGUGCAGGUAGAUAUUAUGUGAUAUGAGGUGAUACGUUUUAUAAUGUUGAUAACGAUCUUCAUUUGGGCUUUUUCUCUUAAAGCGAUAUUUGUACAAAAUAUAUGUGAAAUGUUGAAGCAUUAAAUCUUGAUAGGAUUGUAGUGUCAGGUGUAUAAAAUUUGAUUUAUAAUUGAGUGUUUCAAUUAAAAAAAAAAUGUAAUAUAUACGUCGUGUGUGAUCAAAAUUUAUACAAUCGCCAUAUCUGUUAGAUUGUUAUUUAAUAUUGAAAUUCAAUAAUAAGUCGUUUUAUUAAUUACAUGGAAUAAAAUCAACUGAAAGAAAUAUAACCAAGCAAAAUCAUUCAUUGUAAACUGUAUAACGCCUUUAUUAUUAGCUUAUGAAAACAAAUUGGAUGUUAUUUUGCUUUUUUACAUUUUAUUUUCAAAAUUCUUAUCUGAUAUAGCUAAACACCCUUUAAUUUGGUUAUAAAAUUAAAAAAAAAAACAUUUUGGUGGUAAUAAAUAUUCUUUCUUUCUUUAUUAAUAUUAUUUUAGGAACAAUCUUGUUUAAUUGUUUAUUCUUCAUAUAACACACAAUCCCGAGCAAUUGUGUAUACUAUUAUGUAAAGGUCUCGGCAUGAGUUCUUAUUAAGUUAUUUAUCAAUUUUCCCGAAUUCCACGAAGUCCCUUUUAAAGAUGGAACAAUGCAUUCAGGAUGAUUAUCGUUGAAUAUUAUGUACUGAUUAAACAAUUAAACAUCUAUAGGUUUUCAUUUAUAGAAAUAACUGAAUUUGAAAUGUAAAAUAAAGUAUUGUAGCAAUGUACAUGUACUUAUACAAAUGCUUGGUCAGAGAAGUUUUCUGACGAAAUUAAUAUUUAAAUCGAAUUAUCAAUAAAUCAUGUGUUUUUAUAUUAAUUGACAAGUAUUUCGGAAUAAAUACGUAUUCUCGCCGCGCAUUAUAAGUAACAGUUACUAAAAUAACUCAAGCGGUAUAACUAACUUCAUUGAUAUUUGAAACUUUUGUUUUGAUUCUUCAAAUCCCUUCACUUCUUGAAAUCAUUGUACAAGCGUGAAACAUGACGCAUUCAAUAGUUUUUGUCAUAUUUAUUGAGUCAAAUAUAAUUUUAGUGUCGUGUUAAUUCUAUUCAUAUAUUUACGUAAUGGUAAAUAAUACAUCGUAAAUACAUACACAUAACAUGAUCAGUGUUAUGCAAAUAAAAUUAAGAUGUUUUCAUUGAAAAUAUUAUUUAUUCAUAGUGUUGAAUGUAAACUCUUCAACGAACAAACAAAUGAGACGAAAUAUCCAUCUUACUGUCGCUUUUGUUAACUGUAUGUAAGUUUGAUGUAUUCCUAGGAAUUUGCAUUGUUGUAAUAAAUAUAUUACUGUU